AGAACUUUCUAAUUUCAUACAAAUCAUAAUAAUUUACAAUUGAAUUAUGACCAAAUACAUUACAAAUUUCAGUUACAAUUCGAAAAUCCUAAUCUAUUUCUAACCUAAAUCAUAUUACAAUCAAAUCAGAUUCUAAAAAUUCUAAAAAUCAAUCUAACUUAAUUACAUAAACCCUAAUUCUUAAUCUAUAUAAACCCUAAGAGAAGAACCCUUUGCUGCUGCAAACCCAACCCAUCACUAAAGUUCGAAUUAACUAGAGAUUAGGAUUUCACAUUGAAACCCUAAUUCUUCCGAACUCAGCCUCUUUUACAGCCCAGUGGCACCUCGCAUCAAACAAAGAACAAGAAUUAGAGAAGGAAAUAGUAGGAUCAACAUAGACACACGACAGGGGAAAAAGAAAAAGUUCAAAGCGAUUACCUUUUUACUAAAGAACUUCUCAUCUCUGUAGGUUGGUUGAACUUCGAUGCAUUGCUCAUUUUAUUUGAUUAUGUGAUGUUGUUGUUAUAUAUGAUUGAGUUUAAAUUUGGGGAUCAAGGUCCCGAUAAUCUUAUUUUUGGUUUGUGAUGUGUUUGGACAAUAUUGAUUAUUUGAUGUCUGAUUGGGGUUUAAGGGUUUAUGAUCUAUUGUUUGAUGAAGGUUUGAGUUGAGUCUGGAUAGGAUAUGGUUAGAUCUAGGUUGGGUUAGGGUUCAGGCGAAGGAAGGAGAUAUAGAUUCAUCUUCUUCAAGGGUAGGGUUCACCACGAAGGGGUUAAGGUUCAUCUGGGUAAAGUGUUUAGGGGUUAGGGUUCAUAGGGUUAGGGUUAGGGUUAUUGGUUUGAGAAAUUUUUGGGUUGAUGUUCAUCACCCAGAUGAAUAUCGGUUGAAGACUCCGGUUGAGUUUCAACCAAAAGUAUGGGGUUCAUGAUGGUUCAGGGUGGGGGAUGGUGGUUUCUAGGUUGUGUUUGUGGUUUUAGGAAAACGUUCAUCAUGUUCAUGAUGAACAUGAUGAAUAUGGUGGUCCGGUAGGGGUUGGUGGUGGUACAAGGGCGUGGUUCAAAGAGAGUAAAGAGAGUAAAGAGAGAGACAGAGAGAAGUAGAGAGAGGAAAAAAGAAGAGAAAUGAACAUUUGUGAAGGAAUUCGGUUUAUAUACCCCUCCCUCCAUUACCAAAUCCAGAACACGUGACCCCCUGAUGGCCACACGAUGAGCAUACUUUGACUCAUCCCCAGUGGGUGGUUCCAUUGUACGUCGAUAUUUGACUUCAAUCUCGUCCCUCCAUCUGGAUGACUUCCUCUGGUCAUCCCAUCCAACGUGUGAGGAUCGAUCUUGUU
rnacentral:lncRNA from 1 species